rnacentral:rRNA from 1 species
AGUGAACGCUGGCGGUAGGCCUAACACAUGCAAGUCGAACGGCAGCACAGUAAGAGCUUGCUCUUACGGGUGGCGAGUGGCGGACGGGUGAGGAAUACAUCGGAAUCUACUUUUUCGCGGGGGAUAACGAAGGGAAACUUACGCUAAUACCGCAUACGACCUACGGGUGAAAGCAUGGGAUCUUCGGACCUUGCGCGAUUGAAUGAGCCGAUGUCGGAUUAGCUAGUUGGCGGGGUAAAGGCCCACCAAGGCGACGAUCCGUAGCUGGUCUGAGAGGAUGAUCAGCCACACUGGAACUGAGACACGGUCCAGACUCCUACGGGAGGCAGCAGUGGGGAAUAUUGGGCAAUGGGCGCAAGCCUGAUCCAGCCAUACCGCGUGGGUGAAGAAGGCCUUCGGGUUGUAAAGCCCUUUUGUUGGGAAAGAAAAGCAGCAGGUUAAUACCCCGCUGUUCUGACGGUACCCAAAGAAUAAGCACCGGCUAACUUCGUG